rnacentral:rRNA from 1 species
GAUGAACGCUAGCUACAGGCUUAACACAUGCAAGUCGAGGGGAAACGACAUCGCAAGCUUGCUUUUGAUGGGCGUCGACCGGCGCACGGGUGAGUAACGCGUAUCCAACCUGCCCACCACUUGGGGAUAACCUUGCGAAAGUAAGACUAAUACCCAAUGAUAUCUCUAGAAGACAUCUGAAAGAGAUUAAAGAUUUAUCGGUGAUGGAUGGGGAUGCGUCUGAUUAGCUUGUUGGCGGGGUAACGGCCCACCAAGGCAACGAUCAGUAGGGGUUCUGAGAGGAAGGUCCCCCACAUUGGAACUGAGACACGGUCCAAACUCCUACGGGAGGCAGCAGUGAGGAAUAGUGGUCAAUGGACGAGAGUCUGAACCAGCCAAGUAGCGUGCAGGAAGACGGCCCUAGGGGUGGUAAACUGCUUUUAUAAGGGAAUAAAGUGAGUCUCGGGAGACUUUUUGCAUGUACCUUAUGAAUAAGGACCGGCUAAUUCCGUG